AACGUUAUCUUCUACUGCGCUCUGUAGCUCUCCCUCCCAGCGGCGGGAGAGUUGAUGAUGGCGCUUUGCUUCGCCCCUUCUCUCGUUUACCCGAGCAGUAGGGUUUGUUUUCUAGAAUCUCCUUUCAGAAGGUCGGAACUAUGGAGAAAAGGGCGCAUUGGAGCUUCUUCUGCGGCGCCAGGUGUCGAUCUCGAGGCUCUCAAUGUGGCUAUUGCUAAGAAAGAUAGCGAUGCUGUAAAAGAGGCACUUGACCAGCUGAAUGGAAGUGGUUGGGCAAGGAGGUGGAGUUCACAACCUUAUGUGUCACGCCGUACCACUUCUUUGAGGGAGUUGACCACACUGGGAAUAAAAAAUGCUGAGAAUCUUGCAAUUCCAAGCGUUAGAAAUGAUGCAGCUCUUCUUUUUACUGUAGUAGGGACUACAGGAUUUCUUGCGGUCCUUGCUGGUGGACUACCCGGGGAUUGGGGCUUCUUUGUACCCUACUUAAUUGGAAGUAUUCCCCUGAUCGUUUUGGCUGUGGGGAGUAUUUCCCCUGGACUUCUUCAAGCUGCCAUAGGUGGAUUUUCUUCAAUUUUCCCGGAUUAUCAAGAGAGGAUUGUUAGGCAUGAAGCUGCUCAUUUCUUAGUUGCCUACUUGAUUGGUCUUCCCAUUUUGGAUUAUUCAUUGGAUAUUGGAAAGGAGCAUGUAAACCUAGGAGAUGAGAGAUUACAAAAGCUCAUAUAUACCGGAAGUCUCGAUGAUAAGGCCCUGGACAGGUUGGCUGUGGUGUCCAUGGCGGGAUUGGCUGCAGAAGGCCUCAAAUAUGAUAAGGUCGUUGGCCAAUCUGCCGAUCUAUUCUCUCUUCAGAGGUUUUUCAAUAGGACUAAGCCCAGUCUUAGCAAAGAGAAACAGCAGAAUCUGACCAGAUGGGCAGUCUUAUUUGCAGGUUCCCUUUUGAAGAACAACAGAGCAGCUCAUGAAGCUCUCAUGUCUGCCAUGUCUAAGAAGGCUAGCGUCUUAGACUGCAUCAAAGCAAUAGAGGACGCCUCUUAGAUCCCGAGGCUGUAAAUAGAUCCGCAGAAAGUUGUAUGGCUAAAUGGAUCAAUGAAAACUAACAUUCUUAUCUUUCAUUUAUCUUAUACCAAUCGAUGGGAUCGUUCUCAUAGAACAGGCCGUCAAUUAUGUUGUCGACGAGAGAGUCGACGAAUGAGUUGCAG